GAGAUAUUCACUCAGAGGUCCUGUGG
rnacentral:piRNA from 1 species